AACGAACGCUGGCGGCAUGCCUAACAUAUGCAAGUCGAACGAGACCUUCGGGUCUAGUGGCGCACGGGUGCGUAACGCGUGGGAACCUGCCCUUAGGUUCGGAAUAACUCCCCGAAAGGGGUGCUAAUACCGGAUAAUGUCUUCGGACCAAAGAUUUAUCGCCUUUGGAUGGGCCCGCGUUGGAUUAGCUAGUUGGUAGGGUAAAAGCCUACCAAGGCGACGAUCCAUAGCUGGUCUGAGAGGAUGAUCAGCCACACUGGGACUGAGACACGGCCCAGACUCCUACGGGAGGCAGCAGUGGGGAAUAUUGGACAAGGGGCGAAAGCCUGAGCCAGCAAUGCCGCGUGAGUGAUGAAGGCCUUAGGGUUGUAAAGCUCUUUUACCCGGGAUGAUAAUGACAGUACCGGGAGAAUAAGCUCCGGCUAACUCCGUG
rnacentral:rRNA from 1 species